rnacentral:rRNA from 1 species
UACAGAGGGUGCGAGCGUUAAUCGGAAUUACUGGGCGUAAAGCGCACGUAGGCGACUUUGCAAGUCGGGUGUGAAAUCCCCGGGCUCAACCUGGGAACUGCAUCCGAGACUGCUUUGCUCGAGUAUGGGAGAGGGAAGUGGAAUUUCCGGUGUAGCGGUGAAAUGCGUAGAUAUCGGAAGGAACAUCAGUGGCGAAGGCGACUUCCUGGACCAAUACUGACGCUCAGGUGCGAAAGCGUGGGGGAGCAAACAGG